UUUUAGGGUGCAAUCUGUAAGACCCCCUUUCGGGGACCCCCACUCUAGUCUCGGGAGUGUGAGAGCACCGAAAGAAACACAAGGACCC
rnacentral:pre_miRNA from 7 species